GUGCUCUGUGGCGCAAUCGGUUAGCGCGUUCGGCUGUUAACCGAAAGGCUGGUGGUUCGAGACCACCCAGGGAUG